rnacentral:tRNA from 1 species
AAGGAUAUAGUUAAUUAUAACAUUUGAUUUGCAUUCAAAAAGUAUUAAAUAAAUUUUAAUUAUUCUUG